rnacentral:rRNA from 1 species
UACGAAGGGGGCUAGCGUUGCUCGGAAUCACUGGGCGUAAAGGGUGCGUAGGCGGGUCUUUAAGUCAGGGGUGAAAUCCUGGAGCUCAACUCCAGAACUGCCUUUGAUACUGAAGAUCUUGAGUUCGGGAGAGGUGAGUGGAACUGCGAGUGUAGAGGUGAAAUUCGUAGAUAUUCGCAAGAACACCGGUGGUGAAGACGGUCUCCUGGGCCGAGGGCCGACGCUGAGGCGCGAGAGCGUGGGGAGCGAACCGG